rnacentral:rRNA from 1 species
UACGUAGGGACCAAGCGUUGUUCGGAUUUACUGGGCGUAAAGGGCGCGUAGGCGGCAAUUCAAGUCAUCUGUGAAAUCUCCGGGCUUAACCCGGAACGGUCAGAUGAUACUGCUUUGCUAGAGUGCGGAAGGGGCAAUCGGAAUUCUUGGUGUAGCGGUGAAAUGCGUAGAUAUCAAGAGGAACACCUGAGGUGAAGACGGGUUGCUGGGCCGGCACUGACGCUGAUAGCGCGAAAGCCAGGGGAGCAAACGGG